rnacentral:rRNA from 1 species
UCAACAAUGGAUCUCUUGGCUCUCGCAUCGAUGAAGAACGCAGCGAAAUGCGAUAAGUAAUGUGAAUUGCAGAAUUCAGUGAAUCAUCGAAUCUUUGAACGCAUCUUGCGCUCCUUGGUAUUCUGAGGAGCAUGCCUGUUUGAGUGUCAUUAAAUUCUCA